rnacentral:rRNA from 1 species
UACGAAGGGGGCUAGCGUUGCUCGGAAUCACUGGGCGUAAAGGGUGCGUAGGCGGGUCUUUAAGUCAGGGGUGAAAUCCUGGAGCUCAACUCCAGAACUGCCUUUGAUACUGAAGAUCUUGAGUUCGGGAGAGGUGAGUGGAACUGCGAGUGUAGAGGUGAAAUUCGUAGAUAUCUGGAGGAACACCGGUGGCGAAGGCGGCAUCCUGGACCGGCAUUGACGCUGAGGAGCGAAAGCCAGGGGAGCAAAGCGGG